ACACUUCACAUUAAGCUGGAAAUGCCUAUAUCGAUCAUCGCCGGUUUCGGCCGGCUAUGGCGAUAAAUUGCGGUGUGCAAUAGGCACAGCGGACCCGGGGGCAGUACCCGGCGGCUCCACCACAAGGCUCCGAUAUCGGGGUGUUCUGACGGGGCCGAACCAGGAUCGACGUGUGUUGAAAAGCACUGUUUUCGCCCGGGCUGAGUAACCCGUUAAAGGCUCAAAACUCACAAGUGCCAACGACAACGAAGCACUUGCUCUCGCUGCGUGACCUGACGGCCUAACGGCCUGAUCUUACAAAGCUUUGAGCACGGUUCGGACCGAACCGGGUAACAGAAUCGGAAACC
rnacentral:tmRNA from 2 species